rnacentral:rRNA from 1 species
GUUGGCCUACGGGGCGCAGCAGUGAGGAAUAUUGGUCAAUGGGCGGGAGCCCGAACCAGCCAAGUCGCGUGAGGGAAGAAGGGACUGAGUAUUGUAAACCUCUUUUGCCAGGGGACAAAGGCGGCCACGGGUGGCCGUAAGAGGGUACCUGGAGAAAAAGCAGCGGCUAACUCCGUGCCAGCAGCCGCGGUAAUACGGAGGAUGCGAGCGUUAUCCGGAUUUAUUGGUUAUAAAGGGUGCGCAGGCGGCGUGACAAGUCAGCGGUAAAAUGUCGGGGCACAACCCCGGCCGGCCGUUGAAACGGG